rnacentral:rRNA from 1 species
GACGAACGCUGGCGGCGUGCUUAACACAUGCAAGUCGAGCGACGCUCUUCCUUCGGGGAGAUGACGGAGCGGCGAACGGGUGAGUAACACGUGGGCAACCUGCCCCUAGCUCUGGGACAACACCGGGAAACCGGUGCUAAUACCGGAUACGACAUCGAGCGGCUUCUCUCGAUGUGGAAAGUUUUUUCGGCUAGGGAUGGGCCCGCGGCCUAUCAGCUUGUUGGUGGGGUAAUGGCCCACCAAGGCGACGACGGGUAGCCGGCCUGAGAGGGCGACCGGCCACACUGGGACUGAGACACGGCCCAGACUCCUACGGGUGGCAGCAGUGGGGAAUAUUGCGCAAUGGGCGAAAGCCUGACGCAGCGACGCCGCGUGAGGGAUGACGGCCUUCGGGUUGUAAACCUCUUUCAGCAGGGACGAAUUCAGACGGUACCUGCAGAAGAAGCACCGGCCAACUACGUG